AUCGAUAUUUCCAGAUAUUACUGGUGUGACAGAUGGAGAAACACAUGCUAUACUGUCUACUGACGGUGGCUUUCGUGCUCUUUGGCACCAACAUAAUCUCUAACUGCCAGAAGAGUGGGCUACGCCCAGUGAAAAGCCGACAUAUUCCAGCGCAGGUUUACAGAAACCAGUGCAUCGUGAGCAGUAGCAUCAAAUUAGGGGAUGGCGAGUCAGCAACUUCUCAUGACACCUGCACAAACAUCACAUGUCGGCUAUCCAACAAGUCUUUGACAUUAGAUUUCUGUGAUAUUCUUACUGUGUAUAACGAUUCAUGGACGCUGUACUUUCCUGAACCCAAAGGAGAAUUUCCUUUCUGCUGCCCGAUGUUUACGCCAAGAACUUGAUGUGAAAGUAAAGCCAGUGUUGUGCAGGCGUCGCAAUAGUGGUUUUACAUUCAUCACUUAAUAUAGCCACCGUGCGCCUGCUUAGGGGGUAACUGUAAUACGCUUAACUGCUCGUACAUUAGACAAUAAACUUGUUAUUUGCUACAAA
rnacentral:lncRNA from 1 species